CAUAUAUACUGUUCAAAGCUCAUCUCCAGUAAGAAUCCAGAGUUGAACAUUACAGAGUUGCAUCACAGCCUGAGGCUUGGCUGUCCAUGCAACAGAAAAAAACAAAACAAAACAAAACAUUCAGGCUUGCUGGAAGCAGAUAUACCAAUUUAGCAUACAGUUGAAACACUUAAAGAAGACAGGUUGGCACCAUUGC